UACGUAGGGUGCAAGCGUUGUCCGGAAUUAUUGGGCGUAAAGAGCUCGUAGGCGGUUUGUUGCGUCGGCUGUGAAAACCUGAGGCUCAACCUCAGGCCUGCAGUCGAUACGAGCAGACUAGAGUGUUGCAGGGGAGACUGGAAUUCCUGGUGUAGCGGUGAAAUGCGCAGAUAUCAGGAGGAACACCGGUGGCGAAGGCGGGUCUCUGGGCAACAACUGACGCUGAGGAGCGAAAGCGUGGGGAGCGAACGGG
rnacentral:rRNA from 1 species